ACGCUCGACACCUACGGCAGGCAGCAGUGGGGAAUAUUGGGCAAUGGGCGCAAGCCUGACCCAGCAACGCCGCGUGAAGGAGGAAGGCUUUCGGGUUGUAAACUUCUUUUAUUAAGGACGAAGCAAUGACGGUACUUAAUGAAUAAGCUCCGGCUAACUACGUGCCUAGCAGCCGCGGUAAUCUGAGCGGGCUGGCAAGGC
rnacentral:rRNA from 1 species